CUCGUAUCUACCCUUAGGGAAAAAUUUCAUCCCAGUGAAAAUUAUUUUAUUUGGCAGACUAUUUAAUCUGCCCUUUGAUUCCAUUUUCCAGCCAGCCUUUUAAUAAAUGAUGCUGUAUUUUCCAGGGUAUGCCAACCAUGAGAUGUCUCUGCAACUGCCUUGCUGUGUCCUGUGACCCCCAACAAGCCGUUUCUACUUCUCUUGUCUACUUUCACCAGCUUCUGUUUCUCACUGUCCUUGUUAGCGAAAAAGAUCACUCCUGAAAAUCUUAUGGAGUAUUCAGAUCUCGAGUUUCUCAGCCCACGAUGUCUCCUGUAACAAGCUGGCCUCUAUCCAUUACAGCAGAGGCUGAGCUUGAAUUCCUGAUCUUCCUGAUUCCAGCUUCCAAGGCGAGAGUUACAGGGACAGAAUCCAGACCCUUUCACAUUAGCCAAGUACUCAACCAGAGGUAUUUUUCCCAGUUCAUUUCUUUCCUUCUAUCCAUCCCUUCCCUCCUCCUUCCUUUCUCCCCCUUUUGUCUUUUUCUUUCUGAAAUAGGGUUUCACUUAUCCCAGGUUGGCCUCAAACAGGGAAUGUAGCCGUCUAAAGAAGAUUACAUUGUGGAUUCUGAUCCUGUUAGGAUGUCAGGUGUAGACCAUCACGCUGGGAUCUUGAGGUACUGGGGAUCUAACCCAGGGCUUUGUGCACAAGAGACAAAUCACUCUGCCAACCUAUAUCCUCAGCACCCUUCUCUUUUUAAAUGCUUUUAUUUGUUUUUGUUGUUUGAUCUUUUGAGACACGGUCUCAGAGAGCUCCGGGUAGCCUUGAACUCACUACAUUAGCCAAAGUUGAUCUCGACCUCUUUAUUCUCCUGCCUCUGC
rnacentral:lncRNA from 1 species